UCUUUCGGGAUCUAGAGAGCGGCGUACGGGUGCGGAACACGUGUGCAACCUGCCUUUAUCAGGGGGAUAGCCUUUCGAAAGGAAGAUUAAUACCCCAUAAUAUUUAGAAUGGCAUCAUUUUAAAUUGAAAACUCCGGUGGAUAGAGAUGGGCACGCGCAAGAUUAGAUAGUUGGUGAGGUAACGGCUCACCAAGUCUGCGAUCUUUAGGGGGCUUGAGAGGGUGAUCCCCCACACUGGUACUGAGACACGGACCAGACUCCUACGGGAGGCAGCAGUGAGGAAUAUUGGACAAUGGGUGAGAGCCUGAUCCAGCCAUCCCGCGUGAAGGACGACGGCCCUAUGGGUUGUAAACUUCUUUUGUACAGGGAUAAACCUACCCUCGUGAGGGUAGCUGAAGGUACUGUACGAAUAAGCACCGGCUAACUCCGUGCCAGCAGCCGCGGUAAUACGGAGGGUGCAAGCGUUAUCCGGAUUUAUUGGGUUUAAAGGGUCCGUAGGCGGAUGUGUAAGUCAGUGGUGAAAUCUCACAGCUUAACUGUGAAACUGCCAUUGAUACUGCAUGUCUUGAGUGUUGUUGAAGUAGCUGGAAUAAGUAGUGUAGCGGUGAAAUGCAUAGA
rnacentral:rRNA from 1 species